UGGUCGUCUCGUUAUUGGUUUAUAUCGGGUUCGCUCUUCUGCUUAUGGUCUGCCCGUUAACCCGUGUCGCUGCCUGUUUUUCCUCUUGACUUUGAAAUCUCCUGUUCGCUCUGUAGCUGUUUCAUCAGACGUUCAAACAGAGAUUUCGAGAGCAGGGGAGAGAGAGAGACGGCGAUUAUUUCCAUUCACAGCUCUCCUUCUCUUGUUGCUUCAGGUGUUCGGUUGUUGUUGUUCGCCCGCUGGUGGUUAGAAGUGCUCCUCCAACUGCUCUUCAAAUCCACUGGAAGGAUCCCUUGCUUGAAGUUUAGAUUGCUGCGGUCGGCUAGCUGCUGGUUGGAAUUUUCUCUUCCCAACGGCCUGUUGUUGUUCUUCAUCAAUUACUCUAUUUUCUAGAUCUGCGAGAUAUGGUCCUACAAUUCUGUGAGCCCGAUGAUGGCUGUGCUCUGUUGAAUCUGUGAGCUAUGGUCCUCGAAUUCUAGGUUGUUCAUCUACGUUGUGUUGCGUUUUGCUGUUCCCAUCCUUGUGUUUGGGUCAGGCUUUGUGCUUGUGCAUGUGUAAUGUUGGGGCAAUUCUAGAGUAUUGUCUGUAAUAUCUGUCUUUGAAGAGUUUGAUUUAACUUUAUAAGGUUAUUAUUAGUUCUUAUAUUUUACUUCC